rnacentral:rRNA from 1 species
UUAGAGUUUGAUCCUGGCUCAGGAUGAACGCUAGCUACAGGCUUAACACAUGCAAGUCGAGGGGCAGCAUGAAAGUUUGCUUGCAAACUUUUGAUGGCGACCGGCGCACGGGUGAGUAACACGUAUCCAACCUGCCUCAUACUCGGGGAUAGCCUUUCGAAAGAAAGAUUAAUACCCGAUGUCAUAGUCCUACCGCAUGAUGGGAUUAUUAAAGAAUUUCGGUAUGGGAUGGGGAUGCGUUCCAUUAGUUAGUUGGCGGGGUAACGGCCCACCAAGACAACGAUGGAUAGGGGUUCUGAGAGGAAGGUCCCCCACAUUGGAACUGAGACACGGUCCAAACUCCUACGGGAGGCAGCAGUGAGGAAUAUUGGUCAAUGGACGAGAGUCUGAACCAGCCAAGUAGCGUGAAGGAUGACUGCCCUAUGGGUUGUAAACUUCUUUUAUAUGGGAAUAAAAUGUUCCACGUGUGGGAUUUUGUAUGUACCAUAUGAAUAAGGAUCGGCUAACUCCGUGCCAGCAGCCGCGGUAAUACGGAGGAUCCGAGCGUUAUCCGGAUUUAUUGGGUUUAAAGGGAGCGUAGGUGGAUUGUUAAGUCAGUUGUGAAAGUUUGCGGCUCAACCGUAAAAUUGCAGUUGAAACUGGCAGUCUUGAGUACAGUAGAGGUGGGCGGAAUUCGUGGUGUAGCGGUGAAAUGCUUAGAUAUCACGAAGAACUCCGAUUGCGAAGGCAGCUCACUGGACUGCAACUGACACUGAGGCUCGAAAGUGUGGGUAUCAAACAGGAUUAGAUACCCUGGUAGUCCACGCCGUAAACGAUGAAUAUUAGGUGUCGGUGAGCAAAGCUCAUCGGUGCCGCAGCAAACGCAAUAAAUAUUCCACCUGGGGAGUACGUUCGCAAGAAUGAAACUCAAAGGAAUUGACGGGGGCCCGCACAAGCGGAGGAACAUGUGGUUUAAUUCGAUGAUACGCGAGGAACCUUACCCGGGCUUAAAUUGCACCUGAAUAAUGUGGAAACAUGUUAGCCGUAAGGCAGGUGUGAAGGUGCUGCAUGGUUGUCGUCAGCUCGUGCCGUGAGGUGUCGGCUUAAGUGCCAUAACGAGCGCAACCCUUAUCUUCAGUUACUAACAGGUCAUGCUGAGGACUCUGGAGAGACUGCCGUCGUAAGAUGUGAGGAAGGUGGGGAUGACGUCAAAUCAGCACGGCCCUUACGUCCGGGGCUACACACGUGUUACAAUGGGAGGUACAGAAGGCCGCUACCUGGCGACAGGAUGCCAAUCCCCAAAACCUCUCUCAGUUCGGAUCGAAGUCUGCAACCCGACUUCGUGAAGCUGGAUUCGCUAGUAAUCGCGCAUCAGCCAUGGCGCGGUGAAUACGUUCCCGGGCCUUGUACACACCGCCCGUCAAG